GAUGAACGCUGGCGGCGUGCCUAAUACAUGCAAGUCGAGCGAACGGACGAGAAGCUUGCUUCUCUGAUGUUAGCGGCGGACGGGUGAGUAACACGUGGAUAACCUACCUAUAAGACUGGGAUAACUUCGGGAAACCGGAGCUAAUACCGGAUAAUAUUUUGAACCGCAUGGUUCAACAGUGAAAGACGGUCUUGCUGUCACUUAUAGAUGGAUCCGCGCUGCAUUAGCUAGUUGGUAAGGUAACGGCUUACCAAGGCAACGAUGCAUAGCAGACCUGAGAGGGUGAUCGGCCACACUGGAACUGAGACACGGUCCAGACUCCUACGGGAGGCAGCAGUAGGGAAUCUUCCGCAAUGGGCGAAAGCCUGACGGAGCAACGCCGCGUGAGUGAUGAAGGUCUUCGGAUCGUAAAACUCUGUUAUUAGGGAAGAACAAAUGUGUAAGUAACUAUGCACAUCUUGACGGUACCUAAUCAGAAAGCCACGGCUAACUACGUG
rnacentral:rRNA from 1 species